GCCUAAGGAUGGGUCUGCGGCCUAUCAGGUAGUAGUGGGUGUAGCGUACCUACUAGCCUACGACGGGUACGGGUUGUGAGAGCAAGAGCCCGGAGAUGGAUUCUGAGACACGAAUCCAGGCCCUACGGGGUGCAGCAGGCGCGAACACUUUACAAUGCUGGCAACAGCGAUAAGGGAACCUCGAGUGCCAGGUUACAAAUCUGGCUGUCGAGAUGCCUAAAAAGCAUUUCAUAGCAAGGGCCGGGCAAGACCGGUGCCAGCCGCCGCGGUAACACCGGCGGCUCGAGUGGUAACCGUUAUUAUUGGGUCUAAAGGGUCUGUAGCCGGCCGGAUAAGUCUCUUGAGAAAUCUGGCAGCUUAACUGUCAGGCUUUCAGGAGAUACUGUCUGGCUCGAGGCCGGGAGAGGUGAGAGGUACUUCAGGGGUAGGGGUGAAAUCUUGUAAUCCUUGAAGG
rnacentral:rRNA from 1 species